UUUUUUUUUUUUUUUUUUUCAGGGGAUUUAAAACAGAAUAUUCCUUUACAGUUCUGGCAAUGAUCAGAGAACUGUCAAAACAACUCAGGAUCUUGGCUGGGAAUUGAUGUUUUUAUCCUGGAAAGAAAAAAAGUACCCAUUAAUAGAACUCUAUAAAAUAAGCAGCAGAAUAUUAAAGUCACCUAGUCAUUGUGUGUUCAUCUUAAUCAGUAUUUUGUGCUACUCAGUGAAUAUCCGUUUUUGAAACAAAAGUCAAAUGUCUUUGUUUUGAUUAUGUCAUUCCCUUGUCUUUCAUAAUAUGAUUGAAGACUCACUAUGAAUUUAUUAUUGAUGGAUUGAUUGAUUUUUGUCCUUACCUAUGGCAUGUGCAAGUUUCUGGGCCAGGGAUUGAACCCGCACCACAGCUGGAACCUGCGCCACAGCUGCAGCAACGCCAGAUCCUUGACUUAUUGCCCCACAUGUGAGCUUCCAUAUUAUUAAUUUUUUUUCUUUUUCCUUUUAUCUUUUAGGGCUGGCACCGUCAGCAUAUGGAAUUUCCUGGGCUAGGAGUCAAAUAAGAGAUGCAGCUGCUAGCCGACACUACAGCCAUGGCAAUGCUGGAUCCAAGCAACAACGCCGGAUCCUUAAUCCACUGAGCAAGGCUAAGGAUUGAACCCACAUCCUCAUGGAUACUAGUUGGGUCCUUAACCUGCUGAGCCACAAUGGGAACUCUUGAUUUAUCCUUAAAGUAGAGAUUAAUUCUCCAUUUUUCCUACACGGUACAUUUAUUUACAAAGCCUUGAAAACAAAUGUCCUACCAACGCAGACUCACUUCUCACUGACCCGGUAUAAGCCUGGCGGGUCAUGUCUACACCAGUCAUUGUCUACACACUGUGAUUGUAGUGAGACUUCAACAGCUCCUGCCAGUCUCCUCUCCCUCCACCUUGGUUGAAUUUCUCAGACACCCUGUCCCACCCCCUCUGCCCUGCCCACGCCACUUUUGAAAAUAGAUGCAGAAGCAUGAACCCAAGAAGUUACAGUGAGUAAAUAUUGUUGGUGUGAGUGACUUACUGAUUCUCUAGUUUUGUGGGAUUCACUGAACCAAUGAUGUAUUGUGCAACCUGAUCCCUGGUAAGACACAAAGAGCCAGUGGCAUGGAUAAGUCUGCUUAAGGCAGGUCCUGAAGCUAUAGAUCUCCUGUAGUUGUUUUCAGUUCCACACAAAAUUGGCCUUUUCCAAGCUAUUCUGCCAUGAAAAGCCCUUGGUGGCUCUUUCCUGUGCACACCCCCCCACCCCACCCCAUGCAUCAACUGCUACGAUUCCUCCUUCUUUUACUGCUACUGCUUACACACACCCCUACCCCAAGAAAGGGUCACAGAGCUGAUGUGAGGACUUGCCUGAGUCACACAACAUUCUGAACAGGGUGGCCAACCACUUCAACCUGCAGAAACAUGGACGUUUCCUGAAAUGUCCCAUGUGCCAUUCUUUUCAGCGCCUCUGGGGGCAUUUGGCCUUGAGAACAGAGCUUCAGUGCUGCCUUUGAGUGAUGGUUGAUUUUCAAAUAUUUAACAUCUCUUAUCCGAUGAAUACUAACUGGAUAUGGAAUCUUCACCAACACAGGCAUUUCUGGUGUAGCUGUCUUACCCCCAAAAAGGACCAACUUUGAUGAUCCUUGGACAAGAAUUUGAGUUCUUUGGCAACUUCAAAGUGGGUAUAAAAAGGUAUAUAGGUGAUGGAGUGAUUUGACUCAAGCCGUAGGGUUGUUCCCAGUAGAUGGCAGAGGAAGAAGAGAGGAGGAAGUGGUUGGGGAUUAAAAGAUGGUGGUAAUAAUAUAGUGUAAUACAGUGAGAGAGGCAGACUUGCAAAUGACGGUUUUCAUCCCUCUUCCUGAUCAUUAGUCCUCUGCCUCCUUAUAAGUUUUGGUGCUCUUCUCUCUGAUAUUUAAUAUAUGUCCUCAAGGGGUUCCCAUCCUGGCACAGCGCAAACAAAUCCAACUAGGAAUCAUGAGGUUGUGGGUUCGAUCCCUGGCCUCGCUCAGUGGGUUAAGGAUCCAGCAUUGCCGUGAGCUAUGGUGUAGGUCGCAGGUGUGGCCCUAAAAAGCAAAAAAAUAAAAUAAAAUAUGUCCUCGCGAUACGUGUGAGUAUGUAUGUACAAGCCAGCGGGAGCGCCAUCACGUAAAGGUGGAUAGAUGGCCAGAGAACUAUAUUUUACAAGACUUAAAAUACCAAAGACCAGCCAUAAUUGUCCCCUCCUAGUGCUCCUUCCUUUCAGAGAGAAUUCUAACCUUGAGGAAAGAGGGUGCUGGGUAAAGAAGAGGACAAACCUAGGAGGAGACUGCCAGGACUGGAUAUGCCUGGAAGGUGUGUGGAAUUUCACUUCAUGGAGAUGCGAAGAAUAAAUGGUGGAGAGAGAGAUGCAAGCCAGGGGGCCAAGGUUAAGACCUUGAGUGUGUCCACAAGGGGACCCUUUGUGAAGAUGCUUUGUCUUCCAAUUAUGAGUGCAUUUUCCUAGAACUAUGGGAGAAAACAGAUUUAGAGGAGUUGUAUGUUUCUCUCUUCUAGGAUGUAACUAACUGCCUUGUAGCUCCUCCAAAUGUUCUGGAAAAUCUGAUAAGCCUGUCAGUCUUUUCUUUCUUUUUUUUUUUUUUUUUCUUUUUAGGGCCAUUCCUGUUGCAUAUGGAAGUUCCCAGGCUAAGGGUCAAAUGGGAGCUGCAGCUGCCAGCCUACACCACAGCCACAGCAACGCCAGAUCCCAACUGUGUCUGCGACCUACACCAUAGCUCACAGCAAAGUCGGAUCCUUAACCCAUUGAGCGAGGCCAGGGAUUGAACCCAUGUCCUCAUGGAUACUAUCUGGGUUUGCUACUGCUGAGCCACAAUGGGAACUCCCAAACUGUCAGUUUUAAGUGAUGUCCAAGAAGAAAAGAGGAAACAGGAAAUUGAGGGGAAAUGUGGACCGGUGUCAAAUCAAUGUUCUAACCACCCAUGUCCAGUAGUUCCAUCAGAGAAAGGACAACACCCUACAAAGUGGAAUUUGCCUGGUAUUGACCAUCAGUGAAGUAAACCCAAGUUCACAGCCAUCAGGAGGAGCCCACAGAGCUGAGAAAGGACUGCAAGGGAGACAUCCACAAACACUCUGAAUCUUUGGGAUAAGAUGAUCCUGAGCCUAAAUUCCUGGUCUUCUAAGUAGAAAAAGGAAACUAUCAGGAUGGUGGUACCUGGGAGGAUGAAAUAAGGUAACACAUUUAAAGCGCUUAGUGCAGUGGAAGAGAGCAAGAGAAGAAGAGAGGAACAGAGAAGAACUACAAAGCAUUGAGAAAAUAACUUUUAAAAUGUCAAUAAAUACAUACCUACCAAUAAUUGCUUUAAAUGUAAAUGCUCCAACUGAAAGACAUGGUAUAGCUGAAUGAAUAAAAACAAGAUUCUUAUA
rnacentral:lncRNA from 1 species